AUUGAACGCUGGCGGCAGGCCUAACACAUGCAAGUCGAACGAGUGGCGGACGGGUGAGUCAUGUCUGGGAACCUGCCCUAUGGAGGGGGGUAACUCCUGGAAACGGUAGCUCAUACCGCAUACCAUCGGAUGUGCCCAGCUUGGAUUAGCUAGUCGGUGGGGUAACUGCUCACCUAGGCGACGAUCCCUAGCUGGUCUGAGAGGAUGACCAGUCACACUGGGACUGAGACACGGUCCAGACUCCUACGGGAGGCAGCAGUGGGGAAUAUUGCGCAAUGGGAGCAAGCCUGAUGCAGCCAUGCCGCGUGUAUGAAGAAGGCCUUCGGGUUGUAAAGUUCUUUCAGCGAGGAGGCGUUACUCACAGAAGAAGCACCGGCUAACUCCGUGCCAGCAGCCGCGGUAAUAC
rnacentral:rRNA from 1 species